UACAGAGGUCCCAAGCGUUGUUCGGAUUCACUGGCGUAAAGGGUGCGUAGGUGGUCGGGUAAGUCUGAUGUGAAAUCUCUGGCUCAACCCAGAAAUGGCAUUGGAUACUAUUCGGCUAGAGGAGUGAGGGGGACUGGAAUACUUGGUGUAGCAGUGAAAUGCGUAGAUAUCAAGUGGAACACCAGUGGCGAAGGCGAGUCCCUGGACACUUCCUGACACUGAGGCACGAAAGCUAGGGGAGCAAACAGG
rnacentral:rRNA from 1 species